UUACUUCCUCAAAAGUAACUUAUAUCCCUCUAAACUCAUUUAAUAAUAUAGAAAAAUUCAAAAAAAAACUUAAUCCAUGGAUUUAUAAAGAAACAAAUCAAGAAAAGUUUCUAGUGAAGAUAGCUUGUGCCCUUCGACCAGAGACAUUGAUUCUAUAUCCUAUAGAAGAAUAUUACAAGUAAACUUACAGGGAGAUGAAAUCCACUUUCUUUGUAAGAGUUCUUUUUAAUAUAUUUUAUUUAUUUUUCUUUCCUGUUUCGGUUCUUAACAUAAGAAGACAAACUACAUUUGUUAUUGUCAUAUACCCUUUGUAAGUUUGUGCAAUUUCUCAAAGCAUUGGUUUCUGUUGAUUUCACAAAUCUAACAUUAGUAUAGAAUUAUAUAAGUUCUUAAAAGUUUGUUUUCUAAAACUGUUAUGUACAAUAUUUUCAUUUGUUACAUCCUCCAAUCAAAAUUAUGCAGCAUCCUUGGCAACAUCCCUUCAGAAAGCUCACGAGUAGUUUGUGCAUAUGCUUUUAGCCGAAAUGGAUGUUGGAUUCUUUCUAAUAGUUCAACUAAUUUAAUGAAAAGCCGGAUUUGGCAGUUGUAUUUUGGUUAUUGGUUGUAUUUAUGUGAUGUGCUAUGAAGUCCCUUUCUCUUUCUCUCUUUUGUAUGUAUGUAUAGAUGUUGAUUAUGAAUGUGUAUAUUGGAUUAGUCUGUUUAUUGUCAGAGGAAAUAGAUUUUUUAGUAUGAAUACUAUUUCUCUUUGGUUUGUCGACUUAUAGGUGCUCUUCGGACCAAAUGAAGUUUGCGUUCAGCAGUAAAUCAAGAAAACCUAAAAAAUGACGAUGGGUUGCGCAAGCUCUUUAGCCGAGACUAAAAGUUGAAGCUUUUCAUCUCAAUGGCCUUUAUCCUACUACAUAGGGUGUUGGCAAAUAUGGCCAAAAUGAUGUUAUGAUAAUCUUCCUUAGUCUUGACAAAUCCUGUAGUAGUUGCAAAAAAAGAAGGAAAAAAAUAUAUUGGAACAGACUUGCUAUGAGUGUUAAAGUUUUUUCACUUUGGUCUUGAUUGGUCACACAUCCGAUUAUUUAUAUGAAAAACAUUUUAGAGUAGGGUUUAAUAAAGAUUAAUUGCUUAUUUUUGGUAAAAUUAAGUUGAUAAAAUGAAAUGUCUUUAAAUACCGCGCAAAGCGCGGACAUAUUCUCUAGUAUAUACAUAAAGAUGAGAAAUAAAAAUGUGAUGUGACACCUCUUAUAUGCAAG
rnacentral:lncRNA from 1 species